rnacentral:rRNA from 1 species
AUGCUCCUGUGUGGGGAACCCCGGAUCUGGAGCGGCGGCUUCAUUGGCAAGGCAGGGCCGACUAACAGCCGUGCAGGUGGUGGAUCUGGUGGUCGUUGGCGGCCGACGGUCAGUGUGCGCGAUCUGGCGCCUCCCUUCCUCCCCUGUUCGGCGUGCGGGCCAGCUUGGUCGGGCCGCGCUUCCUCUCGGUCAUCGGUUCUGUACAGGAGGUGCUACUGGUGGCGGAGAUCUAGUUCGGGCGAAAUCCCUGGACAGCCAUGA